rnacentral:RNase_P_RNA from 1 species
AGAGUAAAUUAUCCAAUCGCAUCGCAAGAUGAGGAAAGUCUGCGCUCCACAGAGCAGGAUGCCAGCUAACGGCUGGUGGGGGCGACCCUAAGGCAAGUGCAACAGAGAGAUACCGCCCGCAAGGGUAAGGGUGGAAAGGCGAGGUAAGAGCUCACCAGAUCUUAGGUAACUAAGAUGCUAUGUAAACCCCAUUCGGAGCAAAACCAAAAUAGGACAACACAGAUGUGGCUCGCAUCUGCCGGUAGGUAGGUUGCUUGAACUAUUUGGCGACAAAUAGUCUAGAUAGAUGAUUGGACACGACAGAACGCGGCUUAUCGAUUUACUCUUACA